AUUGAACGCUGGCGGCAGGCCUAACACAUGCAAGUCGAGCGGAGCGGCGGACGGGUGAGUAAUGCCUAGGAAUCUGCCUGGGAGUGGGGGAUAACGUCCGGAAACGGGCGCUAAUACCGCAUACUAUCAGAUUAGCCUCGUUCGGAUUAGCUAGCGGGGGGGGUAAAGGCCUACCAAGGCGACGAUCCGUAGCUGGUCUGAGAGGAUGAUCAGUCAAACUGGAACUGAGACACGGUCCAGACUCCUACGGGAGGCAGCAGUGGGGAAUAUUGGACAAUGGGCGAAAGCCUGAUCCAGCCAUGCCGCGUGUGUGAAGAAGGUCUUCGGAUUGUAAAGUACUUUAAGUGGGGAGGCGUUACCCACAGAAUAAGCACCGGCUAACUUCGUGCCAGCAGCCGCGGUAAUAC
rnacentral:rRNA from 1 species